GCACUCUCACACACUCACACACACACACACACACACACACACAAUAGGCGCGCGCUGAUCUGAGCACGUCAGGGUCGACCCGGAUCAUUCCACAGAAACCGCAGCUUUAUUACAGUUUCUUCUUCUGUUGCAGUAGGUUUGUCCCUCUCCCGGUCGUUGUGCAUCGAGGGAAAUGUUUAGUUUUCCAUGUGCUAGCGGUUAGCGGCAUAGCGGGAUGUCCACUUCGCAGUGUGUCUGCUUCAGCUCUUUGUAACGUUAUCGAGUUUAAUUUCUGUUUGUAAAAUGUAAGCAGCUUGGUUCACUGGUGUGACGCGCAGUGGGUACGGUGUAUAUCCGUAUCCGAGUGUGUCCCUCAUGGGCUGACACACACCUUUAGCUUGAGAAACCCGCCGGUGUAGUAAUGAACAUCUCUGGGUGUUUACAGUAGGAGUUCAGAAGUUAAUUUCACGCUGCUUGGAGAACUAGCAUCACAUAUCACACCGAGCACUUUUUGUGUGAAGGGUUGGUAGUUUCGAACAUUUAUACAUGGGAUUUCUACAUAUACACACUAUACAUUGAUGUUGCGGACCAAGUAUAUAUUUAUAUACUUUACCUUUUCUUUUUUUUUUCUGGCCCUAUUCUGAGGUGGGGAGUGAACUUUUGAAAUGUUUGGGACCUUUUUCAUCUUUCUACCAGUUCUUCCACGCCUGUGAAGGUGGUGAGGGAACUCGAAAAAGGGUUCGGUUGGGGGAAUGUCAUGGGAAGUUGGGAAGGGGAAACUUUGCUGUUCAGUUCUCUUGCUAUUUCCUUGGUUGGUCAAGAUGUGCUAAAUAUAUCUGUACUAAGAGCUUGAUGCUUUCAAUAAAGUUAACAAAUAUUAA